rfam:Felis catus isolate Cinnamon breed Abyssinian chromosome B1, whole genome shotgun sequence.
GCCUGGGUGGCUCAGUCGGUUCAGCAUCCGACUUCAGCUCAGGUCAUGAUCUCACGGUUCGUGGGUUCGAGCCCCGCAUCGGGCU